AAGUUUCAGGGUCGCCCUACCCUCCGGUCACUGUGAUCGACUUCUUCACAGUAUUCUUCUCUUUAGCAACAGUCUUAUACCCAUAAAUUUCAAGGUUGCCCUACCCUCCGGUCACUGAGAUCGACUUUUCCACGGUAUUCUUCUCGUUAGCAACAGUCUUAUACCCGUAAAUGAUCGACUUCUCCCCGGUGUUCUUCUCCUUAGUAAGAGUCUUAUAUUUAUAGGUGAAUAUUAGGUCCCAGAUAGCAAAGGAAAAUAAGAUGUACAUAGAUCUUACGACAUAAAACUUGG
rnacentral:lncRNA from 1 species